rnacentral:lncRNA from 1 species
CAAUGUUCUGAGUUCUCUAUUACAAGAAUAGGGGUUACUCCCUCUAUUUAUAGAUUUAGGUUAACUUACUCCCUAAGUCAAAGCUCAAAACUAUAAAAGUCCAAAAUAGUUAACACUGCUAAAAAUAGGCCUAAAUCGAAAUUCUGUGUGAAGCAACAUACUUCGACACAUUAGUACAACUCGACACACUAGGUGAUUCGACACUUCCUUGUUUUGUCGAGCAACCUGCUUCGACACAAGGAAUUACAAUUCAACACACCACCUAAUUCAUCGU